rnacentral:rRNA from 1 species
CAGUCGCCGCGGUAAAACGAAGGGGGCUAGCGUUGUUCGGAUUUACUGGGCGUAAAGCGCACGUAGGCGGAUCGAUCAGUCAGGGGUGAAAUCCCAGAGCUCAACUCUGGAACUGCCUUUGAUACUGUCGAUCUGGAGUAUGGAAGAGGUGAGUGGAAUUCCGAGUGUAGAGGUGAAAUUCGUAGAUAUUCGGAGGAACACCAGUGGCGAAGGCGGCUCACUGGUCCAUUACUGACGCUGAGGUGCGAAAGCGUGGGGAGCAAACAGGAUUAGAUACCCCCGUAGUCCCUGUCUCUUAUAC